rnacentral:rRNA from 1 species
GGGUUGUGAGGUUAAGCGACUAAGCGUACACGGUGGAUGCCCUGGCAGUCAGAGGCGAUGAAGGACGUGCUAAUCUGCGAAAAGCGUCGGUAAGGUGAUAUGAACCGUUAUAACCGGCGAUGUCCGAAUGGGGAAACCCAGUGUGAUUCGUCACACUAUCGUUAACUGAAUACAUAGGUUAACGAGGCGAACCGGGGGAACUGAAACAUCUAAGUACCCCGAGGAAAAGAAAUCAACCGAGAUUCCCCCAGUAGCGGCGAGCGAACGGGGAGCAGCCCAGAGUCUGAAUCAGCUUGUGUGUUAGUGGAACGGUCUGGAAAGUCCGACGGUACAGGGUGAUAGUCCCGUACACCAAAAUGCACAGGCUGUGAACUCGAAGAGUAGGGCGGGACACGUGGUAUCCUGUCUGAAUAUGGGGGACCAUCCUCCAAGGCUAAAUACUCCUGACUGACCGAUAGUGAACCAGUACCGUGAGGGAAAGGCGAAAAGAACCCCGGCGAGGGGAGUGAAAAAGAACCUGAAACCGUGUACGUACAAGCAGUGGGAGCACCUUCGGGUGUGACUGCGUACCUUUUGUAUAAUGGGUCAGCGACUUAUAUUCUGUAGCAAGGUUAACCGUAUAGGGGAGCCGCAGGGAAACCGAGUCUUAACUGGGCGUUAAGUUGCAGGGUAUAGACCCGAAACCCGGUGAUCUAGCCAUGGGCAGGUUGAAGGUUGGGUAACACUAACUGGAGGACCGAACCGACUAAUGUUGAAAAAUUAGCGGAUGACUUGUGGCUGGGGGUGAAAGGCCAAUCAAACCGGGAGAUAGCUGGUUCUCCCCGAAAGCUAUUUAGGUAGCGCCUCGUGAACUCAUCUUCGGGGGUAGAGCACUGUUUCGGCUAGGGGGUCAUCCCGACUUACCAACCCGAUGCAAACUACGAAUACCGAAGAAUGUUAUCACGGGAGACACACGGCGGGUGCUAACGUCCGUCGUGAAGAGGGAAACAACCCAGACCGCCAGCUAAGGUCCCAAAGUCAUGGUUAAGUGGGAAACGAUGUGGGAAGGCACAGACAGCCAGGAUGUUGGCUUAGAAGCAGCCAUCAUUUAAAGAAAGCGUAAUAGCUCACUGGUCGAGUCGGCCUGCGCGGAAGAUGUAACGGGGCUAAACCAUGCACCGAAGCUGCGGCAGCGACACUAUGUGUUGUUGGGUAGGGGAGCGUUCUGUAAGCCUGCGAAGGUGACCUGUGAGGGUUGCUGGAGGUAUCAGAAGUGCGAAUGCUGACAUAAGUAACGAUAAAGCGGGUGAAAAGCCCGCUCGCCGGAAGACCAAGGGUUCCUGUCCAACGUUAAUCGGGGCAGGGUGAGUCGACCCCUAAGGCGAGGCCGAAAGGCGUAGUCGAUGGGAAACAGGUUAAUAUUCCUGUACUUGGUGUUACUGCGAAGGGGGGACGGAGAAGGCUAUGUUAGCCGGGCGACGGUUGUCCCGGUUUAAGCAUGUAGGCUGGUUGUCCAGGCAAAUCCGGAUAAUCAAGGCUGAGGUGUGAUGACGAGGCACUACGGUGCUGAAGUAACAAAUGCCCUGCUUCCAGGAAAAGCCUCUAAGCAUCAGGUAACAUCAAAUCGUACCCCAAACCGACACAGGUGGUCAGGUAGAGAAUACCAAGGCGCUUGAGAGAACUCGGGUGAAGGAACUAGGCAAAAUGGUGCCGUAACUUCGGGAGAAGGCACGCUGGUGUGUAGGUGAAGUCCCUGCGGAUGGAGCUGAGACCAGUCGAAGAUACCAGCUGGCUGCAACUGUUUAUUAAAAACACAGCACUGUGCAAACACGAAAGUGGACGUAUACGGUGUGACGCCUGCCCGGUGCCGGAAGGUUAAUUGAUGGGGUUAUCCGUAAGGAGAAGCUCUUGAUCGAAGCCCCGGUAAACGGCGGCCGUAACUAUAACGGUCCUAAGGUAGCGAAAUUCCUUGUCGGGUAAGUUCCGACCUGCACGAAUGGCGUAAUGAUGGCCAGGCUGUCUCCACCCGAGACUCAGUGAAAUUGAACUCGCUGUGAAGAUGCAGUGUACCCGCGGCAAGACGGAAAGACCCCGUGAACCUUUACUAUAGCUUGACACUGAACAUUGAGCCUUGAUGUGUAGGAUAGGUGGGAGGCUUUGAAGCGUGGACGCCAGUCUGCGUGGAGCCAACCUUGAAAUACCACCCUUUAAUGUUUGAUGUUCUAACGUUGGCCCCUGACCGGGGUUGCGGACAGUGUCUGGUGGGUAGUUUGACUGGGGCGGUCUCCUCCCAAAGCGUAACGGAGGAGCACGAAGGUUAGCUAAUCCUGGUCGGACAUCAGGAGGUUAGUGCAAUGGCAUAAGCUAGCUUGACUGCGAGCGUGACGGCGCGAGCAGGUGCGAAAGCAGGUCAUAGUGAUCCGGUGGUUCUGAAUGGAAGGGCCAUCGCUCAACGGAUAAAAGGUACUCCGGGGAUAACAGGCUGAUACCGCCCAAGAGUUCAUAUCGACGGCGGUGUUUGGCACCUCGAUGUCGGCUCAUCACAUCCUGGGGCUGAAGUAGGUCCCAAGGGUAUGGCUGUUCGCCAUUUAAAGUGGUACGCGAGCUGGGUUUAGAACGUCGUGAGACAGUUCGGUCCCUAUCUGCCGUGGGCGCUGGAGAAUUGAGGGGGGCUGCUCCUAGUACGAGAGGACCGGAGUGGACGCAUCACUGGUGUUCGGGUUGUCAUGCCAAUGGCACUGCCCGGUAGCUAAAUGCGGAAGAGAUAAGUGCUGAAAGCAUCUAAGCACGAAACUUGCCCCGAGAUGAGUUCUCCCUGAGACUUUAAGUCUCCUGAAGGAACGUUGAAGACGACGACGUUGAUAGGCCGGGUGUGUAAGCGCAGCGAUGCGUUGAGCUAACCGGUACUAAUGAACCGUGAGGCUUAACCUUACAACGCCGAAG